CAAAAUUGAUGCAUCACAUGCAUUAACACAUUGUAGAAUUUUGAACCAAAUUUACAAAUUUGUGAUCUGUUUUACAAAAUUGAGAACGAAUGUGUUGCCGAGAUGGUACAUUUUCAAAUUUAAACCAAAUAGAUCAUUUGUCUUCAUCCACGCAAUAAGGUUCUCAAUUUUUCAGCAACCCAAAUAGCAAUUUAGAGUUGUAAAACCUCAAAUAUGAACUCUUGAAAAGUAUACAAGCUUAUUCGGAAUGAAUGUAUGAUCCCUCUAAUCUAAGAGAAAAAUUUGGAGGUGAGCACUUGCCACAAUGAAUGUGNNNNNNNNNNNNNNNNNNNNUACCAUAUAGUAUAGUAUGUCUCACAAAAUGUGUGGCUAUCAUUGAUUGAAGAAACAACUAGAUGAUCAUUUACCCCUUCAAAAGUCCUCAUAUGUCAUAUAAUUAGACACAUUUGCAAUAAGUAUGAUAUACCAUAUGGUAUGAUAGACAAACCCGAUGGGUUUAGCAAGGUUUGAUUUCGAGCAACUCUUGAGAUUUUGAAAGAGACCCCUGCUCCACAAACUCAGUCAUCCCUGCUCUACAACUCUUGAAAAGAAAUGGGUUUAAGAUUGGUGAGCGGUUUUUUCUUUUUAAUUAUUUUCUUCCAAAUUGAGUCGAGGUAUGAAAUUCCAAUAGGGAGUUUGAAGCCUUUUUUUUUUAAUGGUUUGCUCACAUUUUGGGAUAUCUGGGUGCGUCUCGCUCACCUCCAUUUGCAGCGAGAGAACAUUAUUGAUAACCAUCCGACAGAAUCACCCUCCACACCACCAAAUAUGAGUCGAGGUAUGAAAUCCCAGGAGGGAGUCUGAAGCAUUCUUCUUCUUCUUCUUCUUUUUUAUUGGUUUGCUCACAUUUUGGGGUAUCUGCUUUUAAGAUUUGUUUUAACAUUUUUGACUUUGUAUUAGGUGCGUCUCCCUCACUUCCAUUUGCAAUGAGGAGCGAUCAGCAAGAGAACAUUAUCGAUGGUGGUGAGCAUUUGGAAGCCCGAAUGGAGAUUGAUGGUUAGCGAGGUAUGAAAUCCCAGGAGGGAGUCUAAAGCCUUCUUCUUCUUCUUCUUUUUUUAAUGGUUUGCUCACAGUUUGGGAUAUCUGGGUGCGUCUCGCUCUCCUCCAUUUGCAGCGAGGAGCGAUCAGCAGGAGAACAUUAUUGAUAACCAUCCGGCAAAAUCACCCUCCACACCAUAUGUUUUCCAAUCCAUUUGAAAGGCAAUCUCCUCCUAUGAGUCGUAUCACAUCUUUCAAUGAAUUGCCCAAUAUCUUAGCUCCCACUGGCACCUUCACUUCUCUGUUGUUUGGGGUUAUGAAAAAAAAUGCGAAUGAGCGAGAUGUGAAUGAGAAUCAAAAUAAGCGUCCGCUAGAGCAAUUCAAGAGUGUGAUUGAGAUUGAGCAUGAGCAAAUCUAGGGAGGGGAUCCGAAUCAAAAUGAGCAGGUUAUAGGUGCUUGGAAUCUUAGAGAAAAGCUAAAGAUGGUGCACAAGGUUGAAGAAAAGCUUAGGGAGGCUGGUGCAACAACUGAAGAUCUCAAGAAGAUAACCAGGUCUGGACAAGUUAGAGGUAUGCAUUUUUCUUGCUUAGCACCUGACAUUGGACAACUAUGCAUAAUUCUGUAUGUUUUUUUUUCUUUGCCUUACUUAUAAUUUCCAAAACCAGCUGCUUGUCAUGCACAAGAAAUAGAUGCGAAGGGCCCGGGCAAGGGCAAGCAUAAGAGCAAGAAAAAGAACAAGGACAAGCUGAAGAACAACGACAAAAGUUGUUUAUAUUCCUGGAUUGGUAUGUUUUGUUCCUUAAUUUACUUAUUCUUCCUUUCUUUCUUUUAUUUGAAUAGUUGUUUAUUCUUUCUUUCAAAGCUGGUUUUGGAGUAGAGAAAUUUUAUUUACACAUGUUUUAGAGUAGAGAAAUUUUAUUUACACAUGUUUCUUUUCAAAUAAUCAUUACUCACCCCUACCAGUUGGUAGCAUAUUGUUAUAAAUUCCCUUAAUACCGUUCUAAGAAUUAAACAAAUAAAAAUAAGAAAUGGGAAGAGACCCAAUGAACCAGAUCGAGGCUGCAAUAUGAAAUUAGAUCAGGGAAAGGUGCAAAAUUAAUACUGAAGUUUGGUUCUUAAUAUAUAUUUCCUGCUGAAACUAUUAGAACCCAUCUUUAGUAAUGGAUUUUCAUGAUGAUGUCUGUCCUGCUAAGUCUAAUGAGAAAGAAUUCAUAUUAUUUUGUUGAAUGUUAAGAUAGUUUUCUUCCAUCAAGUUUAGUUGAACUACAAAUAGUUUGAAGUUGAUUUACUAGUUGACUAAUGAUUGAGAGUUGUCGAGAACUUUAAAGACUAACGUCUAAGCAGUUCCACUUCAAAGUUGUAAUAUGAGU
rnacentral:lncRNA from 1 species